CGCCGCUGCGUCCUGACGUUUAGAGGCACAAUCAUGAAUAUUCAGGAGCAGCGCUGGACUCGCAGGAGGAAAAACAAACAGCGCGGCUGUGGAAGCAGAAAAUGCUUCCACUCGGCAGAGCGGCCUUUCUCCCGUAUCAGAGCAGUGACUUUGCGGCGUCUGCGGUUUAACGGCAGCCUGACGGAGAAGACAAGCUGUCGGGCGGUGCCGGUAGGUGGAGAAACAUGGGCCCAUCGUUCCUUAUACGACUGCCUCAGCUCAGCCACAUUCUCCAAAUGUCGGCCGUUCUUUCAAGGUCACCCGGCAGCUUCUGGGCCCCUCCUAAAGGCUCUGCUCUGCUCGACAACCAGUCUCCUCGGAGCUUCAGUUUGCACACAGACGCCUUGAUAUCAUGUUGUGCGAUAGCUUGAUGAACUUCUAAAUGACCUGUCACCUCCGUUGCAGGCUGUCCAGGUACAGUGGGAGAAAAGCAGCUUCCAAUUACAACGCUACUCGACCUCCAGGAUACUCCAAUGGAUUAAAUAAACAGAUAUGGCACUGGCGUUAUUAAACUGCUAGAUACUGUAUAAAUCAUGCAACUCAUAUCACAAAACAGAUAAGAAGUACUUGUUAUGUUAGUCUCACCAGCUUUUGACAUAGUGAAAGCAUUUUAACAGCGUCCAAUAAAGGCGUUACCAAAGACUUCAA